rnacentral:lncRNA from 1 species
AUUUGUUUGGUGAAAAUCUGCCAAUUAAAGACCAAACUGUAAAUCUUCAAUACAAACAUUAUUUCAGUUUUUCUACACGGGUGAUAAAGCUGAAGAUCGACUGGAAAAUGGUCUGUAUGCUUCCACAAGUAAAUGCUUGUGAGAACAUGGCCAUCAAAAGGAAUUAAUUUACAAGAAGGAUGCGUAAUAAAUUUGGAACCUGCUAUGUAACAGGAUGAAGGAUGACACAUGAUGUGGGAGCUUUACCUUUGAUUCUGAGACAUGAAGAUUUCCUCUUAUGCCUACCCCAGAGCCAGUUCUGAGGGGAGGAAACAGGAUGCAAAGUAAUCAGUAUUUCUCAAUGAAUUUUCAAAAACAUCUCCUACUGUUGUGACCCAGUCCUCUGUGGUGGUUUUCUGAUGGACCAUGACUUGCUCUUGGAUUCUGCUGACUGGGUGAGGUAAAGAGAGGCAAAGAUAAGCAUCAUUCAGCUGUCACCCUUCUGCCCUUGGGGAGUUCUUUCGCUGAAGCUGUCUGGAGCAUAUGUAAAGGUUGAAUACGUGCAAUCUUGAGUAAUACCUAUGUAAGGAACAACGUUGGAUUCACGUACCUGAUUGUAGAGCAAUGGUAACUUGUUUCACUGAUAGCUCUGGGAAAGGACAUAAUGAAUGCCCUUGGGAAAGAUGACGGUGACUUUGAGGCCUCAUGUUGUGGCUUAACCCCAGCAGGCAGCUCAGCACCACCCAGCCACAGGCUUAUUCCCCCAUAGUGGGAUGAGGAGGGAAUCAGAAAGUUCUCCAGAUCUGAAGAGUGAAGGUCCAGUUGAUCACCAAGGAGUCAUUUACUGUUACUAUGCGCUCACUUUUGCUGUGUGACAGUUCUGUAUGGAUUACAAUGGCCGUGAUAUUUUUAAAGCAUAUUGUCAUUUUUUUUCUUUCUCAUUUUCUUAUUUUUCUCGCAGCUGAAGCACUUAAUGUAUCUCUCCUAUCUUUUGCAUAUAUAAUGUUCAACUGUGUAAAUUGUUAAUCUUUCCCAUUAUUUGGCUUGUUUUACUGAAGGCAGUAACCACUCUUAAGUAUUCAAUGCUCAUACAAAAUAAAAAAUAAUUCAGAUUUAUUCCAUCUAUUUAAAACUGCUCAUAUAUUUGUAGUAUCUCAAGUUCUACUGCCUCUAUUCCCCGAAAGAGCAGAUUUUCUCUUAAUCCCUGGAGACUGCAUAAUAUUAGGAAGUCAUUAGUGGUGAGCAUCCAUGUUAUUAAGCCUUAUGAACAACUUUUGAAUAGUGUUGCAUGUAUCUUUAUUGGAGCUCUAUAUGUUAGUCAUCUACCUCCACAGAAAUUUCUGCAGUUCUGUACUUCUGAAGUAUCCAAACAGCACUGUUAAGAUUAUGACCGUAAAGCAAACCUUGGAAAGUCACAUGCAAGUCUUGAAGAUGUGUGCAUGGGUAUUCUGGGAGGAAGACAACUCUUUGCAGUGGCCCCAACUCCACUCAGUGCAGUUCAGCUCCAUCCUGUCAUCCUCCUCUCCCAGACAUGCUUACCUGUUGCCACUGUCUUGAAAUGACCAAGUCCCACUCUAGGAUGUUUGUGUAAUGGCCCUAUAUGUAUGCCCGCUCUGGGAGGUUUGCCUGCCAGAGCAGCCUGAUUCCCUGGGGAUCAUGGGAGAGGUGCCCCACAUUCUUACUCUGCUCCCUGUCUGGAGGUGAUGGGAUGGAGCUUGGAUGGCAGUGCCAUACACUGCCAGCUCCUUAUCUGAAGAUGUUACAAGGUAGUAUCUUCAAAAAUGAAUUACAGGAACACAUGACCAAGGUUACAAAACUAUAGUCUUGAGGUACAGGGAAAAUUUUCAGAGCAAGACAUAUUGAAAUGAGUUUUUAAAUUGUGAAUGUCGACUUUCUAGAUGAUUUGAUAUUCCCUGUGCUUUAUAAGUAAGCUUUUAUUAUUUCUGUACUUCCAAAGUGAAUCCUUUUUCAUUCAUAAAAUUAUCUGAUUUUAUAUUCCAGGGUAGUAGCUGGGUCACAUCAGGUGCUGAAGCAAAUGUACUGACAUCUGAAUUAGCUCUCUGAUCUUGCUAAGAAUGUAACUCAGAUGAACAUGACAGCAAUUGAUUUUUAUAUACCCUCUUUUUUAUACAAUCUAUGACACCUUACAUCUGCAGUUUCCCAUUAUAAAUUUUGAAGAAGUUUAAUCUCAGAGAAAGCUUUAUUCAAACAUUGUGCUUAUAGAUGAACAGCAUGCACUCUUUUCCUUUGUUUAAAGCAAUGCAAUUUUGUUUUCAUAUACUUCUGCUUCACCAGUGUAAUCCAUUAAUACGUUUUCAGAAACAUAAAUCAGAAUAUCUCUUCCUAUACUGUGCACAUUUUCCAUAAUAAGAUCCGAGCAUGACUCUGAGGGGAUUUUUUAUCAAUAUCUUCUGAGGUUUUUAUAUUUAAUUUUUUUUUUUUUCAAGCAAUCCUGUUGCAAAUCAGUCUUUGAGGACUGGUAAUAAUAAUAGUGAGUUCUUAGCAGUUGUCUCACACAACCAUACAUCUAGUGACUGGUGCUUGUUCAACAAUGUCUGCCCUAUAAAAGAUGUAAUGAAGUUGAGUGAUCUCUAAGGAAUAUGAUACUCUGCACUUUCCAGCAUCACUGGCUGUAAUAUUGUUGCUUGGAACUCUGCAUUCAUAAUUUUGUUAUCCCUGUCAGAACAUCAAAUGCAAUUUUGAUGGAAAGGUGGGGUCUAAUUUUUCCAAUUACUAGUUGCUUUGUUGAAACUCAUCCUUAUUGUUGCUCUUGAAGAUGAAGAAGUAUAUGCAAAAUUUCUUUGGAGUACAAACAAAAUGAAGCAUGAUAAUUAAGAUCUUCUUCCAACUACAGCUUUUCCAUAUAUUCUUCUCUAAAGUGAUGUUUUAUAUUCAUAAUACGUUAAACAUUAAGUGCUGAAAACACAUUAAAAACAUUUUCAAAAUGCUUUCACUUUUCACCUGUAAUUGAGUCAUCAAUAUUAGCAACCAGCUAUGAAACUAAUUUGGCUUAUUGUGUUACUCAUCCUCACAUCUUAAUUAAUGAUUAAUAAUCUUACUGACAUUAAAAGGUUCCUUUUGAAAUGUAACUACUGCAUUGUAAUACUAUGCUAUGACUGUCUCCAAAAUUAUCUGUGCCAUAAUAUUUCUUUGUAAUUAAAAUAAUAGGUUUAUAUUUGCAGCUGGACAAGCAGGCAAGUCUGUGAAGCCUAAUAUGUUCAUAUGUAUUAAAAGAUCAUCUGUGAUAGACAAGGGAAUUAAACAUCAUGAUAUGGUUUAUUCCUCCAGAAAAUGAACUCUGUACUCGAAUGUUUUAUGGAUUUUGCCAGCUGCUUACCUUCCUCCAUCUUCUGUAUAUCCCUUGCAAAGAUAAUGUUUCUUUGUUUAAAUCCCACUGUUUCUGGGAAAUCACAAAAUCAGUGUUUUUCCUUUAUGCUAGCAGUACUGUAGACAUUACGUCAAGUCAAUUGUAGGAUGAUGCAAAUAUAUUAAUGUGUACAUGAAGUUCAUUUUGUACGAUACAUUAUUCAUUUAAUGGGCUACUGAGUGAGGUUGAAGUCUGAACUUCUCCCAGCACUCCCAAGGAGGACUGUUGUGUGGUUUAUGUAUCCAUCAUCUUUACAUGGAAUUUCUCCUUUAGGGGAGGUUUAGGUUGGUUAUAAGGAAAAAAGUUCUUCACUGAGAGCAUGGUUGGCCACUGCAACAGGCUUCACAUGGCAGUGGUCAUAGCACUGUGCUUGUCACAGUUCAACAAGCAUAUGGACAACACUCUUAGUUGUAUGGUCUUGAUUUUGGGUGGUACUAUGUGAAGCCAGGAGCUCGACUUGAUGAUCUUCAUGGGUCCCUUCCAACUCAGGAUUUUCUAUGAUUCUAUGAUUCUAUUAUCAUACAAUGUGGCAAUUAGACUAGGGAUGUGCUUUAGGUCCUGAAGAUUAUCUCCUUUUAAUGGAUUUUGAGGAGAUAUGAGCAAAAUGUUCAUGUUUUUAAGGAGCAGUAUAGUAGCCCAAAUGCUCUAUUCACUUCUGAAAACUAUAUUUGAAUGACUGGUGUUUAAUUUUUCCCUCCUGAAACAGAAACAGCAGCAUUUUGGUCACACUAGGCAUCCAGUUUCUUCUUUACAAGCUGGACUACUACACAUAAAAUCAAGUGUUUUUUCUUGCAUUUGGUUGUCUUUGCAGGUGAAAUGAGUCAGUUUACUUUCUAUACACCAGUUUAUCUUAGACAUCAACUCAUAAUUUACUCCUUGCUGUAUUACUUGUAUCUUACUGAUUUUCAGCAAAGUACAGUGAAUGUACAAGAUGAGUCAAGACCACUCCAUAGCCCAAAAGGCAAUCCAAGCAAUGUCUCAUACAAACAUUUUCGCUGCUUCUCAUGACUCUUCUUUCCUUAAUGAACUAAUCUGUAAUCAGUGAUAGAUAUGAUCUGGGGAUAGAAAACCUCUAGAAAGAAUUUGCCUUAAGAAAUGGUACACCUUCCUUUGAGCAGUUAUUACCUUUCAUUCUGUGCAUCUUCAUUUGUGUCUUUAACAUCUGGAAAUACCUUAAUAAAUUAACUUUAUUUUUUCUGUAGUCCCACUAUCACUAUGCCAUUAUCAUUUUCAGUUUUAACAAUUAAUUACUUACAAUUUAAUGCAAUAAUAUUUCAGUUUUUGAAAAACAGAAGUAGUUGUUGGUUCUAGAUCCAAUUCCUAUAGAGCAGUAAGACGAAAAAAAUCAGAGAAUUGACCAAAUGUACAAACCCAAAUUUACAAACCCAAACUUCCACUCAUUGAG